UACGUAGGGGCAAGCGUUGUCCGGAAUCAUUGGGCGUAAAGAGCGCGUAGGCGGCCCUGUAAGUCCGCUGUGAAAGUCAAGGGCUCAACCCUUGAAUGCCGGUGGAUACUGCAGGGCUAGAGUCCGGAAGAGGCGAGUGGAAUUCCUGGUGUAGCGGUGAAAUGCGCAGAUAUCUGGAGGAACACCGGUGGCGAAGGCGGCAUCCUGGACCAAUUCUGACGCUGAGGAGCGAAAGCCAGGGAGCAAGCGGG
rnacentral:rRNA from 1 species